CAACAUAUACUUUGCCUCAAAGUAAGAAGUUUGUUUUGCGGUAGACAGACAGAAGAGGAGUUAUUAUUCGGCAAUUUCUACCAAGUUUGCUUAAAGUUAUAGCACCAUUAGCCAACUACACUUUGUAAUGUAAGUCCUAUAGAAGUUAUAAACACUCUAACUUUGAAGUUAGUAUGAAAUUCUUGAAAAUAACCGCACAAUAAAAACAACGCUACGGGCCACACUGCUACUGUCACUAACUCUUGGUGCAUAUAUUGAAGAAGAAUCAUCAUCUUUUCAAGUUUAUCAAGAUGAUACUAUUGAAGUCAGGCAGCAAUGGAACCACGACGACGACCUGCAGGAACUGCAUCGAUAUGUAUCUUCUAAGACAGAAGUUUGCUGAAAACACUGCAGUAAUGGUUAUCGUCGGUUUGGUCAUCGUUGUUUGGUUAAUGGCGUUCCUUGCAGCUUUAAAGAAUAUGGACAAGAUGAACGCAAAAAAGAGCAAAGAACUUGAAAAGCAACGACAUGAAAAACUAUAAAACAAAACUAGAUUUUAAAAUAUUCUUCUUAUACCACACGAGGUAUAAACUGUAAGCAACGUCUACCAAGUUCUUCUGAUUCCAAGCUCUCGUACGUGUUAUUUCAGAAAUCAUCGUGCAGAAUGAGAGAGUUUUUAAAAACCUCUUCGGUGUUGUAUCUCAUUUUGGACGGUAUAAAAUCUUCGAAGAGAUACGAUUAGAUUGUAUUUCAAAAAGCACUCAACAAGCUUGUCAUGAAGUAUUGAUAGAGCUGUAGAUAAGAGACGGUACAAGAUAUAUGAUAUUAUAUGAUGUUGUUGGUAGUAUUCUCCAGAAUACAGCUACUCUUCCCAUUUUUCCUAUCGUUCAUUUCUCCCAUUUCCUCCAUGGUUGUCAUAUUUCACGCUUUCUAUAUAAGUCUUCUAUCAUUUCUUCUAGUUCUCCCAUUUUUCCUCUCCUCUUUCUCUUCCUUCUCAUUUUAUCCAUGUUUUUCAACACGAAUAGAAAUAUCAUGAUCCAUGUUACUAUAACGACGCCGGCAAUAAUCAUGAUGUUCGUGUUCUUUUCCAAGGAACAGGGAAUUAAUUUGGUUGCUAUGGAAACGAUAGAAAAAUAUAAAUGUUAUCGACUUGUAA